CCUACGGGCGGCAGCAGUGAGGAAUAUUGGUCAAUGGCCGCAGGGCUGAACCAGCCAAGUCGCGUGGGGGAUGACGGUCCUAUGGAUUGUAAACCUCUUUUGUCAGGGAAUAAAGGGCGCCACGUGUGGCGCUUUGCGUGUACCUGAUGAAUAAGCAUCGGCUAACUCCGUGCCAGCAGCCGCGGUAAUACGGAGGAUGCGAGCGUUAUCCGGAUUUAUUGGGUUUAAAGGGUGCGUGGGCGGAGGUUUAAGUCAGCGGUAAAAUUGUGGGGCUCAACCAUGUACUGCCGUUGAAACUGGGUCCCUUGAGUGUGCGAGAAGUAUGCGGAAUGCGUGGUGUAGCGGUGAAAUGCAUAGAUAUCACGCAGAACUCCGAUUGCGAAGGCAGCAUACCGGCGCGCAACUGACGCUCAUGCACGAAAGCGUGGGUAUCGAACAGGAUUAGAUACCCGUGUAGUC
rnacentral:rRNA from 1 species